rnacentral:rRNA from 1 species
CAAUAGCGUAUAUUAAAGUUGUUGCGGUUAAAAAGCUCGUAGUUGGAUUUCUGUUGGGAACGACCGGUCCGCCCAUUGGGUGUGUAUCUGGCUUGUUCUCGGCAUCUUCUUGGUGAACGUUGCUGCACUUGACUGUGUGGAGCGCUACCCAGGACUUUUACUUUGAGGAAAUUAGAGUGUUUCAAGCAGGCAUAUGCCUUGAAUACAUUAGCAUGGAAUAAUAAGAUAGGACCUCGGUUCUAUUUUGUUGGUUUCUAGAGCUGAGGUAAUGAUUAAUAGGGAUAGUUGGGGGCAUUCGUAUUUAACUGUCACAGGUGAAAUUCUUGGAUUUGUUAAAGACGGACUACUGCGAAAGCAUUUGCCAAGGAUGUUUUCAUUGA